GACGAACGCUGGCGGCGGGCUUAACACAUGCAAGUCGAACGGAAAGGCCCUGCGUUUGUGGGGUGCUCGGGUGGCGAACGGGUGAGUAACACGUGAGUAACCUGCCCUUGACUUUGGGAUAACUUCAGGAAACUGGGGUUAAUACCGGAUAGGAGCUCCUGCUGCAGGGUGGGGGUUGGAAAGUUUCGGCGGCUGGGGAUGGACUCGCGGCUUAUCAGCUUGUUGGUGGGGUAGUGGCUUACCAAGGGUUUGACGGGUAGCCGGCCUGAGAGGGUGACCGGCCACAUUGGGCCUGAGAUACGGCCCAGACUCCAACGGGAGGCAGCAGUGGGGAAUAUUGCACAAUGGGAGGAAGCCUGAUGAAGCAACGCCGCGUGCGGGAUGACGGCCUUCGGGUUGUAAACCGCUUUCGCCUGUGACGAAGCGUGAGUGACGGUACUGGGUAAAGAAGCACCGGCUAACUACGUG
rnacentral:rRNA from 1 species